AUUGAACGCUGGCGGAAUGCUUUACACAUGCAAGUCGAACGGCAGCACGGACUUCGGUCUGGUGGCGAGCGGCGAACGGGUGAGUAAUAUAUCGGAACGUGCCGAGUCGUGGGGGAUAACGUAGUGAAAAUUACGCUAAUACCGCAUACGAUCUACGGAUGAAAGCGGGGGAGCGCAAGACAUCGCGCGAUUGGAGCGGCCGAUAUCAGAUUAGGUAGUUGGUGAGGUAAAGGCUCACCAAGCCGACGAGCUGUAGCUGGUCUGAGAGGACGACCAGCCACACUGGGACUGAGACACGGCCCAGACUCCUACGGGAGGCAGCAGUGGGGAAUUUUGGACAAUGGACGCAAGUCUGAUCCAGCCAUUCCGCGUGCAGGACGAAGGCCUUCGGGUUGUAAACUGCUUUUGUACAGAACGAAAAGGUCUCUACUAAUACUAGGGGCUCAUGACGGUACUGUAAGAAUAAGCACCGGCUAACUACGUGCCAGCCGCCGCAGUAA
rnacentral:rRNA from 1 species